CUUCUUUUAGAGCUAGCCAAUGAAUUUGUUUCAAAUAUAAUAUUUUUUAGUUCUAGUAUUUCCAUUUGGUUCUUUUCUUUCUCAAGUUUUCUAAAAAUUCUACAUAGCUCCUAAAAUUUCCUAUCUUCUCAUCUAUCCUACUAAUCUUUUCCUGUAGAUGCCUUAAAUAUUUUUAGUCAUUUCAAAGUCUCUUUCCAACAUCUGGACCAUCUACAGGCUGGUUUUUAUUAACUAAUUUUUCUCUUGACUGUAGAGCACAUUUUUCUACUUUUCUGACGUGUGCUGCUGCUGCUGCUGCUGCUAAGUCACUUCAGUCAUGUCCGACUCUGCGACCCCAUAGACGGCAGCCCACCAGCUCCCCUGUCCCCGGGAUUCUCCAGAGUACAUCAUGAGAAAUGCUGGGCUGGAUGAAGCACAAGCUGGAAUCAAGAUUGCUGGGAGAAAUAUCAAUAACCUCAGAUAUUCAGAUGACACCACUCUUAUGGCAGAAAGCAAAAAAUAACUAAAGAGCCUCUUGAUGCAAGUGAAAGAGUUUUGAACUCUGCAGUUGAGACUGAUGUUCAGUGAGAAGAUGAAAAGAUGCCUGAUGGCAAGGACAUUGCAAGUCUCAGGAGUCGGAGAAAACAGAGCUGAGUCUUCAGACCAGGGCAUUUACUGCAUCAAAGAAAUGAGGUGGCAAUUGGUUAACUGCUUCUGUUAAAUCAAGGAC
ensembl:lncRNA